AUGCCAAUGGUAAGGGGGUAUGGGGGCGGGAUCUGGGGUUCACUGCCUGUCCCGGGUGCGGCGAGACCGUCAAUUCCUAAUUCUCGCCGCAGCCGGGAGCCCAUGGACUCUGCUCUCCCAAAUGUGCGCGCUCGGGAAGCUGGCACAGCAGCGGGGCAUCCGGACAAGGUGCCUCCACGCCCCCUCGCGGACGCGACCGAUGACCGACCCGGCCGUGCCAAUUUCGCGGUGGGAUCUAUUAAAUGUAAGCCUUUUCUUGCGGCUUGCUCUACUCACCUGCAUCCUGCCUUCUGGCUGUUCCCGUGCUUGGAGCCAGUGCUUCUCAAACUUUUGGGAGAUGAGGACCAGGUAUGUUUGUGCGUGUGUGUAUGUGCUUUCAGUCCACUCAAGCUUGAUACUGGAUAAAAUAUUGCAGAAAUGAAUUUUUGGGGGAGGGAAUUUUUAAAUGCACAAAACACAGCCCAGUUUGUCAUUGUUGUGGUCAACAGAUAGCAGAUCGGCAAAUUUUUAUAAACAAUUCUCCUGAUGUCUGUAUGUCUCAAUGUCUCUCAAUACAGAUAAAGGUCACCUUGGCAGACUGCCCUUUUAGGAGCACUGGUUAAGGGUAAGCUGCAAUGUGAGAAGACGAACUUGAAUAGAAGGAAUGAGAGAGUAUGGUCCGCUCUGAAGCUUAAUAACAGGUAGCUCUGGGUGGUGGUGUUGCCUCUUCGUGGACACCAGUAUUGCUCCCACAUGAUCUUAAAGACAAACUCAAACCCCACCUUCUCUGAGCUGUCUUCCUGUGCUCCCUCAAACGCUGUGUUGUUCUUCCCUGUGCCUCGCAUGGUGUCAGAAGGUCGACGUUGCUACUCCCAUGCGUGGUCUCCUCCCAUGAAUGGGAGUCUCUCUUCCUCAGCUGCCAUGAUUUUUAUUCCCUUUCUGUGGAUAGAAGCAAAUGGAUGGGUUGAGUAUGAGCCUGUCUAGAGAUUUCUGUUGAUAGAUCCUUUAAGAAGGAAAAAAUAGAAGUGGAUGGAACUAGAGGGUAUUAUGCUCAAUAAUAAAAAUAAGUCAAUCAGAGAAAGACAAUCAUCAUCUGAUCUCCGUGAUACGAGGAAGUGGAGAUGCAACAUGGGGAGUUUGGGAGGUAGGAAAGGAAUAAAUGAAACAAGAUGGGAUCAGGAGGGAGACAAACCACAAGAGACUCUUAAUCUCACAAAAUAAAUCGAGGGUUGGGGGGGGCGCGUAGGGAGAGGGAGGUGGGGUUAUAAACACUGGGGAAGGUAUGUGCUAUGGUGAGUGCUGUGAAGUGUGUAAACCUGGCGAUUCACAGACCUGGACCCCUGGGGCUAAUAAUACAUUGUAUGUUAAUUUUAAAAAAAUUGUAAAUAAAAAAAAAAGGAAAAAAUAAAUGUAAAUAAAAUAAAAUGUUCGUGUG
rnacentral:lncRNA from 1 species